UACGAAGGGGGCUAGCGUUGUUCGGAAUUACUGGGCGUAAAGCGCACGUAGGCGGCUUUCUAAGUCAGGGGUGAAAUCCUGGAGCUCAACUCCAGAACUGCCUUUGAUACUGGAGAGCUUGAGUCCGGGAGAGGUGAGUGGAACUCCGAGUGUAGAGGUGAAAUUCGUAGAUAUUCGGAAGAACACCAGUGGCGAAGGCAGCUCACUAAACAGACAUUGACGCUGAGGCACGAAAGCGUGGGGAUCAAACAGG
rnacentral:rRNA from 1 species